rnacentral:lncRNA from 1 species
CUUUUUCGCUUCUUUCAACACCAAAUCAUUUGGGAAAUACGCCUGUAACGUUUUGAAAGUUUGGGAAAUAAUACCCAGAUAACACACACGUUCAAAAUCGGGACAUAAGACAUCUUUUCGACAUCUUUUAGACACUAUAUAUCUUAAAAUGUCGAAACUAAAAAAAUGUCCAGACAAAAUGUGAAAAUGUGAAGCCAAAAAUCUAGAGAUUUUUUGACCCUACAUAACGAAGGCCGUGUUCCAAAAUUCACUGCCAGCACUGAAAAGCUAUAGUGUACGUGACAUAAACUAUAGAGUUUCAGUACUGGCAGUGAAUUUUGAAACACAUCCGUAAAAUGUUUAUAAUCAAGCAGAUUUUGCAGCAUCGGUGCAAUUUAUACAAAACCAUUUGGACGAUAUGGAUCCGAAGAAGGGCGUUUCUUGGGCGACUGUUUGCUACAUGUUUGGAGAGGUUCAAUACGGUGGUAGGGUUACGGAUGAUUUCGACAAACGUUUAUUAACAACUUUCACACAUGUCUGGUUCUGCGACGUACUAUUACGACCAGGGUUUGAAUUUUAUUGAGGAUACAGAGUGCCACAAAUAAGAAAUCUUCAGGGAUACGUAGAUUAUAUUGACGGUUUAGAAGCUACCGACACCCCGGAAGUCUUUGGAUUACAUCCAAACGCCGACAUUACUUAUCAGAUCAACACGGCGAAAGGAAUAUUUGAUACGAUUCUCAAUGUACAGCCAAAAGAGGGUGGCAAAACUAGAGAGAGGCCGUUGUAUAUAAAUUAGCAAAUGAUAUGUUGUCUAAAUUACCCAAACAAUACAAUUCUUUCAAAGUGAAGGAAGCACUUCAAAGAAUGGGACCGUUACUGCCGAUGAACAUAUUUUUAAGGCAAGAAAUAGACCGUAUUUCGAGGGUUAUUAAAGAAGUACGAAGCACUCUAACGGAUUUGAAACUAUAGCUAUCGACGGUACUAUUGUGAUGAGCCAAGGUUUGCGAAAAUCGUUAGAUGCAAUGUAUGACGCACGCGUACCAGAAAAAUGGUUGAAAAUAUCGUAGGAGUCAGCGACUUUGGGCUUUUGGUACACAGAGCUUUUUUGGAAAGGGACUAUCAGUUCAGACAGUGGUGCGCUCAUGACCGUCCGAAAGUAUUUUGGAUGACUGGAUUUUUUAAUCCACAGGGAUUUUUAACAGCAAUGAGAGGUGAGAAAUCAUGCUAAUGAAAAAUUAACGAAUAUACUUACAUAUAUUUACAUAUAUUUAAAAAUUAUUCAAUUAAUCGAGAGAUUUUAAAAGAAGAUAAAAGUAGUUAUGCAAGACAGAAUAAUAACUAACAGCUAUAAGAAAUUUCGUGGUUCUUUUUUAAUCUUUCAACUAGAUUAAAAUACAAUAAUUUUAGGAAGUGACUAGAGCGCACAAGGGUUGGGCUUUAGAUUCCGCGGUCUUGCAAAAUGUAACCACACGCUUUAAUAAAGAGGACAUUAAAAGUCAACCACAAGAAGGAGUUUAUGUUCAUGGUUUGUUUCUGGAAGGUGCAUCGCUCGAUCGGAAAGCGGGGAAACUCGUUGAGAGUAGGCCGAAAGUUCUCUAUGAACAAAUGCCGGUUAUUUUCGCAAUAAAUACCACCGCCGGCAAAGAUCCGAAAUUAUACGAAUGUCCUAUAUAUAGAAAACCUCAGAGAACGGAUGUGAAAUAUAUAGACUCAAUUGAUUUCGAAACAGAUUAUAUAAUCCCCGACACUGGACUCUCCGAGGUGUAGCUUUAUUAUGUGAUAUUAAAUAAAUAAUUAAAUAACAAGUGAUAAUCAAAGAUUACUCAUAUUAGAUUUAGGAACAAGUUUUCCAAGUUUGCUCCUUUUUCGAAGAAAACAAUAAACAUAAUGUAGAAUUAUGAAUGUCGGAGCGAUUGAUCUACUGUUAGAUGAGAUCACGAGUAAAAGAUUGAAAGAGAGAGAAAGAGUGAGUGCCGAAACGAUUGAUCUAAUUGUGUGAAGCGGUGUGUGACUUAUUUAUGAUUGGUUUGUGAUUUUAGCAGCAUCGUGUAAAAAGCUAAGCAUUAUGUAAGAAGCAUCAUAUAAAAAGCUAAGCUGGCAAACGCAAUGUAUGAAAGCGAAUGUAAUACAUGAAAGUGAAUGCGGUGCAUGAAAGUAAAUGCGACGUGUGACAAAA